UACGGGGGGGGCAAGCGUUGUUCGGAAUUACUGGGCGUAAAGGGUUCGUAGGGGGCUUGCUAAGUCAGACGUGAAAUCCCUCAGCUUAACUGGGGAACUGCGUCUGAUACUGGAUGGCUUGAGUGUGGGAGAGGGAUGCGGAAUUCCAGGUGUAGCGGUGAAAUGCGUAGAUAUCUGGAGGAACACCGGUGGCGAAGGCGGCAUCCUGGACCAUUACUGACACUGAAAAGCGAAAGCCAGGGGAGCAAACGGG
rnacentral:rRNA from 1 species